rnacentral:rRNA from 1 species
GAUGAACGCUGGCGGUAUGCUUAACACAUGCAAGUCGAACGGACUCUUCGGAGUUAGUGGCGGGCGGGUGAGUAACGCGUGAGAAUCUGCCUUCAGGUCGGGGACAACAGUUGGAAACGACUGCUAAUACCCGAUGUGCAGCAAUGUGAAAGAUUUAUUGCCUGAAGAUGAGCUCGCGUCUGAUUAGCUAGUAGGUGUGGUAAUGGCGCACCUAGGCGGCGAUCAGUAACUGGUCUGAGAGGAUGACCAGUCACACUGGGACUGAGACACGGCCCAGACUCCUACGGGAGGCAGCAGUGGGGAAUUUUCCGCAAUGGGCGAAAGCCUGACGGAGCAAUACCGCGUGAGGGACGACGGCUUUUUGGGGUUGUAAACCCUCGUUUUCCCUGGGAAGAAGAUCUGACGGUACCAGGGGAAUCAGCAUCGGCUAACUUCGUGCCAGCAGCCGCGGUAAU